rnacentral:rRNA from 1 species
UACAGAGGGUGCGAGCGUUGUCCGGAAUCACUGGGCGUAAAGGGCGCGUAGGCGGCGGGAGAAGUCUGUGGUGAAAGCUCGUGGCUCAACUACGAGUCGGCCAUAGAUACUCUUUCGCUCGAGCACUGUAGAGGCAGAUGGAAUUCCGGGUGUAGCGGUGGAAUGCGUAGAGAUCCGGAAGAACACCGGUGGCGAAGGCGGUCUGCUGGGCAGUAGCUGGACGCUGAGGCGCGACAGCGUGGGGGAGCAAACAGG